GAACUUGAGAAGCUGGAGAGAGCAUGAGGGAUGUUGGCUUUAGCAGAACCAGACUACAGUGCCUUUCCCAACACUGUCCUGGCCUUUGACCAGCUGUGAGAUCUGGAAGAGAAGCAGCAUGAGGCAUUUUGUGUCUGUGUGAGAGCUGGUAUUCUUGCUCCAGUGGAUCAGGGAAGAUUGGUGGGAAGCCAGGACAAGAAUGACCAAAACUUGAAGAUUCGUUACCACCCUUGAGGAGAAUAAAGGAGCGGGACAGAAGAACAUGGAGACAUCUGUUCAGAGGAUGGGAGAGCAGAGGGUGACCUGUGUGAACCUAGGAGGCCAGAGACUGAAAUGGUCUCUUCAUCUGAGAGACCAGGCUGCUGCUCAGACAAGCAGGGCUUGAUCUGCGUAUGGGACAAAAAAACUGGGGGAGAUUUGAUCAGUAAUUCUUUGCAUGCAGCUAAAAACAGCAGCCCAGGAGUGACAGAGGGUGUGAUUUAAUAACACACAACGUGCCGUU
rnacentral:lncRNA from 1 species